AAGGACUUGCGACAGCAGCAAGACACCGCAGCUCAGCAAGGGCACUGAAGAAGAGUUCAGGGGAAUAGUACUGUUAUUACAAAUCUACUAAAUUAUACUGACAACAAACUCUUCUAAACUUUGGCAGCAAUGCCUGGCCCUCCGCAAGAUCGAGUUGUCUGGCCCCCUUGGUUGCAUACAUGGAUGGAGUUAGAUGCCAAAAUCUCUGUACACUACCUAAGGAAAGGGUUGUCACAGUGUUGAAAGGACACCAUAACCACUCGAACAGUUGAAAAUAAAAGUUCCUGUUCUGAAGCAUGCAGAAGAAAAAAAUGCAAGACGUUCAUUUAUGUGAAGUCAGCUACAAAGUACAGUGGAAUUAUUUCAUAACUGCUUAACAGUGCAUAAUUUUAAUUAGUGAUAUGCCUCCGCACUAUAUGGACGUUUCGCAGCAAUCAGGUGGCAGACAAUCAGCAGAAGAUACCAUGCACAGAAAUACCAAGACAGACUACUGAUCAGAUGAUCAAGUCCAGUUGGGUUUGGAACAUCUCCAAGAGUGGAGACUCUGCAGCUUCUUUUGGCAACCUGUGCCAGUUCAAAUAUCCUCACAAUAAAGUGUUUUCUUGUGUUCAAAUGGAA